CUUGGUCAUUUAGAGGAAGUAAAAGUCGUAACAAGGUUUCCGUAGGUGAACCUGCGGAAGGAUCAUUAUUGAUUGGUCGAAAGACCUUAUCAGAUUCUACCACCUCUGUGAACCGUUGACCUCCGGGUUAAUAAUCAAACAUCAGUGUAACGAACGUAAGAGUAUCUUAAUUAAACAAAACUUUUAACAACGGAUCUCUUGGCUCUCGCAUCGAUGAAGAACGCAGCGAAAUGCGAUAAGUAAUGUGAAUUGCAGAAUUCAGUGAAUCAUCGAAUCUUUGAACGCACCUUGCGCCUUUUGGUAUUCCGAAAGGCAUGCCUGUUUCAGUGUCAUGAAAUCUCAAUCUAAUAUGUUUUCUGAACAUGUUAGGCUUGGACUUGGGUGUCUGCCAGCAAUGGCUCACCUCAAAUGACUUAGUGGAACAUCCCACAUCAGYGUUAGACGUAAUAAGUUUCGUCUCUCCUUGUGGUGACGACUGCUCAAAACCUGCCAUCGCGCACCUUUUGACUUUGACCUGAAAUCAGGUAGGGCUACCCGCUGAACUUAAGCAUAUCAAUAAGCGGAGGAAAAGAAACUAACAAGGAUUCCCCUAGUAACGGCGAGUGAACCGGGAAGAGCUCAAAUUUGAAAUCUGGCGUGCUCAGUGCGUCCGAGUUGUAAUCUAUAGAGUCGUUUUCCGUGCCGGACUGUGUCCAAGUCCCUUGGAACAGGGUAUCAAAGAGGGUGAUAAUCCCGUACUUGACACAAUGACCGGUGCUCUGUGAUACGUCUUCUACGAGUCGAGUUGUUUGGGAAU
rnacentral:sRNA from 1 species